rnacentral:rRNA from 1 species
CCUACGGGGGGCAGCAGUGGGGAAUAUUGGACAAUGGGCGAAAGCCUGAUCCAGCCAUGCCGCGUGUGUGAAGAAGGCCUUCGGGUUGUAAAGCACUUUCAGUGGGGAAGAAAGCCUUGGGGCUAAUACCCUCGAGGAAGUACAUCACCCACAGAAGAAGCACCGGCUAACUCCGUGCCAGCAGCCGCGGUAAUACGGAGGGUGCGGGCGUUAAUCGGAAUUACUGGGCGUAAAGCGCGCGUAGGCGGUCUGAUAAGCCGGUUGUGAAAGCCCCGGGCUCAACCUGGGAACGGCAUCCGGAACUGUCAGGCUAGAGUGCAGGAGAGGAAGGUAGAAUUCCCGGUGUAGCGGUGAAAUGCGUAGAGAUCGGGAGGAAUACCAGUGGCGAAGGCGGCCUUCUGGACUGACACUGACGCUGAGGUGCGAAAGCGUGGGUAGCAAACAGGAUUAGAUACCCGAGUAGUC